rnacentral:rRNA from 1 species
CGGACGGGUGAGUAACGCGUGGAAAACCUGCCGUAUACUGGGGGAUAACGCUUAGAAAUAGGUGCUAAUACCGCAUAAGCGCACAGCUUCGCAUGAAGCGGUGUGAAAAACUCUGGUGGUAUACGAUGGUUCCGCGUCUGAUUAGCUAGUUGGUGGGGUAAUGGCCUACCAAGGCAACGAUCAGUAGCCGGCCUGAGAGGGUGAACGGCCACAUUGGGACUGAGACACGGCCCAAACUCCUACGGAAGGCAGCAG